GACAGCAGUAGCCGCGGUAAUACGUAGGUGGCAAGCGUUGUCCGGAAUUAUUGGGCGUAAAGGGCUCGCAGGCGGUUUCUUAAGUCUGAGGUGAAAGCCCCCGGCUCAACCGGGGAGGGUCAUUGGAAACUGGGAAACUUGAGUGCAGAAGAGGAGAGUGGAAUUCCACGUGUAGCGGUGAAAUGCGUAGAGAUGUGGAGGAACACCAGUGGCGAAGGCGACUCUCUGGUCUGUAACUGACGCUGAGGAGCGAAAGCGAGGGGAGCGAACAGGAUUAGAUACCCCUGUAGUCCCUGUCUCUUAUAC
rnacentral:rRNA from 1 species